CCUUGCGCCAAGCCAGCACGUGCUAACUCCAGCCUGAUAGCCCGUUUUCCGUUUUCGUGUAAACGGUUCAAAACGAUUUGCCGUACUCGUGUAAACGGUUUGAAAACGAUUCGAGGCUAGCCCGUUUUCGUUCCGUUUCGUUUCGUUUCGUCUCCGUGUAAACGCAGCCUGAGGUAGCGACGGCAGUUCGGCAGUCUGUCCCGGUGACGCAACAGCUCAUUGAAGACGAUUUACGCGUGCAGACGACUCGUGCUAGUGCGUAGGGAACCACAGUUGCUGGCAGUCGCGUCCUGCAACAGAACAUUUGUCGGAAUUCUAGUACCUGAGCAGCCGUCCAAUCGGAUGUCGAAGGACUAGGCAUUGGUUAGUAAAUUGGACAUUUGGCUACAAGUAUUAGCAAGAGUCCCUAACCAAAGGUAAGUAACUGUUCUCUCUUUUCUAAGGGUC